AGGAGAGUGGCCGAGUGGUCAAAAGCGGCAAACCGUAAAUCUGUUGAAGUUUUUUUUACUUAGGUUCAAAUCUUGCCUCUCUCA
rnacentral:tRNA from 1 species